AGGAGGAACAGCCCCAGUGGCGGGGCCAGCUCUGGAAACCUGGAUUCAGCUCCUGCAGGAACUCCGUCUGCAGGGCCUGGAGGCUCCGGGGCGGG
rfam:Canis lupus familiaris chromosome 12, whole genome shotgun sequence.